GAGAAGAAGGUAUUCCAAAGAUACGAGAACAAAAAAGUCUCCAAAACUCAGAUAAAGGAGGGCAUAUUGGAGGUGAUAGAGAUCAACAGUGUCAAAAGCUAUAGAGAAGUCAAGAAGGAUAAGGAUUGAGAAAAAGGCCAUUAGAUUUGGCAAUGAAGAGAUCAUUGGUAACUCUGGAGAGAACAGUUUUAGCUGAAUGAUGAGCAUUUGGGAGGCAUUCUAGCAUCACAGGACAUGGGCAUGGUGAAUGCAAGGGUGUGAUGGUAUCCAUCUGAAAUAACAAAAAAAUAUUUGUAAAUAAGAAAG